rnacentral:tRNA from 2 species
UCGUCGCGGGGGUUCCUCCGAGAUCGGCGCGCAUGGUGGGCGCGGCGAUGUUGGUGACCAUGGCGUCAAGCAGGUCCAUGACCUCCGCGGCGAG